GAACGCAUAUUGCGCUCUUUGGUAUUCCGAAGAGCAUGCUUGUUUGAGUAUCAGUAAACACCUCAAAGCUUUUGAUUUUUUUUUAAAAGUUUUGGACUUGAGCAAUCCCAACACCAAUCUUUUUCAGAUCGGCGGCGGGUUGCUUGAAAUGCAGGUGCAGCUGGACAAUCUCCUGAGCUAAAAGCAUAUUUAUUUAGUCCCGUCAAACGGAUUAUUACUUUUUGCUGCAGCUAACAUAAAGGGAGUUUUGACCAUUAUGGCUGACUGAUGCAGGAUUUCACAGAGAAAAGGCCGGCAACGGUUUUGUCUCUGUCAAACUCGAUCUCAAAUCAAGUAAGACUACCCGCUGAACUUAAG
rnacentral:misc_RNA from 1 species